GUUAGGAAUCUUCCACAAUGGGGACAACCCUGAUGGAGCAACACCGCGUGCUGGAUGAAGGCCUUCGGGUCGUAAACAGCUUUUGUAUACGAAGAAUAUGACGGUAAUAUACGAAUAAGGGUCGGCUAACUACGUGCCAGCAGCCGCGGUCAUACGUAGGACCCAAGCGUUAUCCGGAGUGACUGGGCGUAAAGAGUUGCGUAGGCGGCUUAUUAAGCGAGUAGUGAAAUCUGGUGGCUCAACCAUCAACACAUUGCUCGAACUGAGAGGCUUGAGAAUGGUAGAGGUAGUUGGAAUUUCUUGUGUAGGAGUGAAAUCCGUAGAUAUAAGAAGGAACACCAAUGGCGUAGGCAGACUACUGGACCAUUUCUGACGCUGAGGCACGAAAGCGUGGGGAGCGAACCGGAUUAGAAACCCCUGUAGUCC
rnacentral:rRNA from 1 species